rnacentral:lncRNA from 1 species
AUGGCAGAGGGGCCCGAGGAAGCCCAAGGCCGCCCUCCUGGGCACGACGAGGGUGGAGGGGGCCACGAGUCCCUCCCUACCCUGAGAGGCCCUCCUGCCGCCACCGUCCCAUGCCCCCAUGACGACCCCCAGGCCAAACCCCAUGCCCCUGGCCAGCCCACAGCCCGGGCCUCAUGGCUGUGCCUGACAAAUCAGAGCCGCCCCGGUGAGCUCAGGAAGCGCGGGGAGGCUGCUUCCGGCUCCGUGCUGGGCUGCCGAAGUGCCCAAGGCACAGCCCCGCGGGAGAGACCGAGUGCUCCCGGCAAGUGCGCGAGUGGCUGUAUCAGUCCUGCUGUGGCUACCUCACCUGGCACCGCUGGCCAGGCCGCCUUCCCGGCUUGCUGCAGUCCCCAGCAGUCCCCGCAGAGCUUCCCUUCGGACAGCGCUGCUGUCCCAGUGGCUGGGCUAUUACAACCCCUUCUACUUCCUGAGUCCUGGGCCGCCGGCCCUGACCCGGGUACAGCUGCUGGCAUCAGCACCCAGGCUCCAGUAACUGGCCUGGGACCCCGGGCUUCUCAUGUGCAGGCAUCAGUCUGGGCCACUCCAGUGACGAAGGUAGGAUCAGCAGCCCCUUCGUGAAGCCUGAGUGAGACCGGGCAACAGGCAGGCGGAGAAUAUGUUAUUCCAUCCUUGGCCCAGGAUGGUGAGUUUCUUUAUUCUUUUCUUUGUAAAAGCAACCAUUGUCUUAAGCAUUAUGCACCUCAGUGGGAUAAAGGAUAUCUCUAAGUUUGCUAUGCAUUAUGUAAUGGAAAAAAUAGAUAAAGACACAUCAGUGGAAGACUUGCAGAAAAUGAUGCAGACUAUUAGUUUGUUUCUAUGAGAUAAUUUGCAUCUGGGGAGCAGGUGGAGCUACCCCAGGGAAGUUCCUGGUGGGGCUUCGAGUUGUGACAUGUGAUACAUUAGUGCUUAUUGCACUAAGUCGGGUUUUAGUGAUUCUUUCCUCAAACGUUAGCAUUACAAUGUCCACUACAUGAGCUUUGAUCAAGAAUUUUUCAAUUGCUUCUUUUUUCCCUGCUUGCAUCACACUGCUGUUUUUUCAGCAUAAUCGAUCAGCCUAUGAUAUUGUGGCAGGAACCACUGUGGUAAAAAGAAAUGGGGUCAGA